rnacentral:rRNA from 1 species
UACAGAGGGGGGCAAGCGUUAUUCGGAAUUAUUGGGCGUAAAGGGCGCGUAGGCGGCUUUGCAAGUGGCGGGUGAAAUCCCUCGGCUUAACCGAGGAACUGCCUGCCAGACUGUGAGGCUUGAGACCGGGAGAGGUGAGUGGAAUUCCCAGUGUAGCGGUGAAAUGCGUAGAUAUUGGGAGGAACACCAGUGGCGAAGGCGGCUCACUGGACCGGAACUGACGCUGAGGCGCGAAAGCGUGGGGAGCAAACAGG